GUGGGGAAUAUUGCACAAUGGGCGAAAGCCUGAUGCAGCGACGCCGCGUGAGGGAUGACGGCCUUCGGGUUGUAAACCUCUUUCAGUAGGGAAGAAGCUUUCGGGUGACGGUACCUGCAGAAGAAGCGCCGGCUAACUACGUGCCAGCAGCCGCGGUAAUACGUAGGGCGCAAGCGUUGUCCGGAAUUAUUGGGCGUAAAGAGCUCGUAGGCGGUUUGUCGCGUCUGCUGUGAAAACGCGAGGCUCAACCUCGCGCCUGCAGUGGGUACGGGCAGACUAGAGUGCGGUAGGGGAGACUGGAAUUCCUGGUGUAGCGGUGGAAUGCGCAGAUAUCAGGAGGAACACCGGUGGCGAAGGCGGGUCUCUGGGCCGUAACUGACGCUGAGGAGCGAAAGCAUGGGGAGCGAACAGGAUUAGAAACCCCUGUAGUCC
rnacentral:rRNA from 1 species